GACGAACGCUGGCGGCGUGCCUAAUACAUGCAAGUAGAACGCACAGUUUAUACCGUAGCUCGCUACACCAUAGACUGUGAGUUGCGAACGGGUGAGUAACGCGUAGGUAACCUGCCUGGUAGCGGGGGAUAACUAUUGGAAACGAUAGCUAAUACCGCAUAAUAUUGAUUAUUGCAUGAUAAUUAAUUGAAAGGUGCAAUUGCACCACUACCAGAUGGACCUGCGUUGUAUUAGCUAGUAGGUGAGGUAACGGCUCACCUAGGCGACGAUACAUAGCCGACCUGAGAGGGUGAUCGGCCCCCCUGGGACUGAGACACGGCCCAGACUCCUACGGGAGGCAGCAGUAGGGAAUCUUCGGCAAUGGACGAAAGUCUGACCGAGCAACGCCGCGUGAGUGAAGAAGGUUUUCGGAUCGUAAAGCUCUGUUGUAAGAGAAGAACGGGUGUGAGAGUGGAAAGUUCACACUGUGACGGUAUCUUACCAGAAAGGGACGGCUAACUACGUG
rnacentral:rRNA from 1 species